CUCCAAGAGAAUGUAAACAGAAAUGGCUCCCGAGAAUGAUAGGUUGUCACUAUACACCCUGAGACAUAACCACAGUUACCUACAAGUACUGCUGAUGAAACUACAGGAAAGAAAACUAACCAAAAUGGACAGUAUCAGUAUGGCUGGAUACAACACGUUCUCUAGGAGUGCUGCAUUUAGUGUAAACUGCCACAAGGUGACAGUGUUUCAGAGCAUUACAGGUUUUACAGUACCUACCUUGUGUUCUUAGGAUGCUGUACUGUGAAGACAGACUGCAGAUGCAAAGGCUGCAAGCCAUAACUUGAAAGGUAAGAGUCAGCCUCUGCAGCAGUAGAGGCAAGCCAACUGAACUGGAGAGCUCCAAUUGUAACAUUCACUGGGAACCCAAAGAACGGGUCUUUUCUAGAUAGUUCCUACAUUACUGUUUUCUCCAGCCACUAACUUU